UACGAAGGGGGCUAGCGUUGUUCGGAAUCACUGGGCGUAAAGCGCACGUAGGCGGAUCUUUAAGUCAGGGGUGAAAUCCUGGAGCUCAACUCCAGAACUGCCUUUGAUACUGAGGAUCUUGAGUUCGGGAGAGGUGAGUGGAACUGCGAGUGUAGAGGUGAAAUUCGUAGAUAUUCGCAAGAACACCAGUGGCGAAGGCGGCUCACUGGCCCGAUACUGACGCUGGAGGCACGAAAGCGUGGG
rnacentral:rRNA from 1 species